AUUGAACGCUGGCGGCAUGCCUUACACAUGCAAGUCGAACGGCAACAGGUUAAGCUGACGAGUGGCGAACGGGUGAGUAAUAUAUCGGAACGUGCCCAGUCGUGGGGGAUAACGUAGCGAAAGCUACGCUAAUACCGCAUACGAUCUACGGAUGAAAGCGGGGGAUCGCAAGACCUCGCGCGAUUGGGGCGGCCGAUAUCAGAUUAGGUUGUUGGUGAGGUAAAAGCUCACCAAGCCUGCGAUCUGUAGCUGGUCUGAGAGGACGACCAGCCACACUGGAACUGAGACACGGUCCAGACUCCUACGGGAGGCAGCAGUGGGGAAUUUUGGACAAUGGACGCAAGUCUGAUCCAGCAAUGCCGGGUGCAGGACGAAGGCCUUCGGGUUGUAAACUGCUUUUGUACGGAACGAAACGGUGAGCUCUAAUAUAGUUUGCUAAUGACGGUACCGUAAGAAUAAGCACCGGCUAACUACGUGCCAGCCGCCGCAGUAA
rnacentral:rRNA from 1 species